rnacentral:rRNA from 1 species
ACUAAGCGUACACGGUGGAUGCCCUGGCAGUCAGAGGCGAUGAAGGACGUGCUAAUCUGCGAUAAGCGUCGGUAAGGUGAUAUGAACCGUUAUAACCGGCGAUUUCCGAAUGGGGAAACCCAGUGUGUUUCGACACACUAUCAUUAACUGAAUCCAUAGGUUAAUGAGGCGAACCGGGGGAACUGAAACAUCUAAGUACCCCGAGGAAAAGAAAUCAACCGAGAUUCCCCCAGUAGCGGCGAGCGAACGGGGAGCAGCCCAGAGCCUGAAUCAGUGUGUGUGUUAGUGGAAGCGUCUGGAAAGGCGCGCGAUACAGGGUGACAGCCCCGUACACAAAAAUGCACAUACUGUGAGCUCGAUGAGUAGGGCGGGACACGUGGUAUCCUGUCUGAAUAUGGGGGGACCAUCCUCCAAGGCUAAAUACUCCUGACUGACCGAUAGUGAACCAGUACCGUGAGGGAAAGGCGAAAAGAACCCCGGCGAGGGGAGUGAAAAAGAACCUGAAACCGUGUACGUACAAGCAGUGGGAGCACGCUUAGGCGUGUGACUGCGUACCUUUUGUAUAAUGGGUCAGCGACUUAUAUUCUGUAGCAAGGUUAACCGAAUAGGGGAGCCGAAGGGAAACCGAGUCUUAACUGGGCGUUAAGUUGCAGGGUAUAGACCCGAAACCCGGUGAUCUAGCCAUGGGCAGGUUGAAGGUUGGGUAACACUAACUGGAGGACCGAACCGACUAAUGUUGAAAAAUUAGCGGAUGACUUGUGGCUGGGGGUGAAAGGCCAAUCAAACCGGGAGAUAGCUGGUUCUCCCCGAAAGCUAUUUAGGUAGCGCCUCGUGAAUUCAUCUCCGGGGGUAGAGCACUGUUUCGGCAAGGGGGUCAUCCCGACUUACCAACCCGAUGCAAACUGCGAAUACCGGAGAAUGUUAUCACGGGAGACACACGGCGGGUGCUAACGUCCGUCGUGAAGAGGGAAACAACCCAGACCGCCAGCUAAGGUCCCAAAGUCAUGGUUAAGUGGGAAACGAUGUGGGAAGGCCCAGACAGCCAGGAUGUUGGCUUAGAAGCAGCCAUCAUUUAAAGAAAGCGUAAUAGCUCACUGGUCGAGUCGGCCUGCGCGGAAGAUGUAACGGGGCUAAACCAUGCACCGAAGCUGCGGCAGCGACGCUUAUGCGUUGUUGGGUAGGGGAGCGUUCUGUAAGCCUGCGAAGGUGUGCUGUGAGGCAUGCUGGAGGUAUCAGAAGUGCGAAUGCUGACAUAAGUAACGAUAAAGCGGGUGAAAAGCCCGCUCGCCGGAAGACCAAGGGUUCCUGUCCAACGUUAAUCGGGGCAGGGUGAGUCGACCCCUAAGGCGAGGCCGAAAGGCGUAGUCGAUGGGAAACAGGUUAAUAUUCCUGUACUUGGUGUUACUGCGAAGGGGGGACGGAGAAGGCUAUGUUGGCCGGGCGACGGUUGUCCCGGUUUAAGCGUGUAGGCUGGUUUUCCAGGCAAAUCCGGAAAAUCAAGGCUGAGGCGUGAUGACGAGGCACUACGGUGCUGAAGCAACAAAUGCCCUGCUUCCAGGAAAAGCCUCUAAGCAUCAGGUAACAUCAAAUCGUACCCCAAACCGACACAGGUGGUCAGGUAGAGAAUACCAAGGCGCUUGAGAGAACUCGGGUGAAGGAACUAGGCAAAAUGGUGCCGUAACUUCGGGAGAAGGCACGCUGAUAUGUAGGUGAGGUCCCUCGCGGAUGGAGCUGAAAUCAGUCGAAGAUACCAGCUGGCUGCAACUGUUUAUUAAAAACACAGCACUGUGCAAACACGAAAGUGGACGUAUACGGUGUGACGCCUGCCCGGUGCCGGAAGGUUAAUUGAUGGGGUUAGCGCAAGCGAAGCUCUUGAUCGAAGCCCCGGUAAACGGCGGCCGUAACUAUAACGGUCCUAAGGUAGCGAAAUUCCUUGUCGGGUAAGUUCCGACCUGCACGAAUGGCGUAAUGAUGGCCAGGCUGUCUCCACCCGAGACUCAGUGAAAUUGAACUCGCUGUGAAGAUGCAGUGUACCCGCGGCAAGACGGAAAGACCCCGUGAACCUUUACUAUAGCUUGACACUGAACAUUGAGCCUUGAUGUGUAGGAUAGGUGGGAGGCUUUGAAGUGUGGACGCCAGUCUGCAUGGAGCCGACCUUGAAAUACCACCCUUUAAUGUUUGAUGUUCUAACGUUGACCCGUAAUCCGGGUUGCGGACAGUGUCUGGUGGGUAGUUUGACUGGGGCGGUCUCCUCCUAAAGAGUAACGGAGGAGCACGAAGGUUGGCUAAUCCUGGUCGGACAUCAGGAGGUUAGUGCAAUGGCAUAAGCCAGCUUGACUGCGAGCGUGACGGCGCGAGCAGGUGCGAAAGCAGGUCAUAGUGAUCCGGUGGUUCUGAAUGGAAGGGCCAUCGCUCAACGGAUAAAAGGUACUCCGGGGAUAACAGGCUGAUACCGCCCAAGAGUUCAUAUCGACGGCGGUGUUUGGCACCUCGAUGUCGGCUCAUCACAUCCUGGGGCUGAAGUAGGUCCCAAGGGUAUGGCUGUUCGCCAUUUAAAGUGGUACGCGAGCUGGGUUUAGAACGUCGUGAGACAGUUCGGUCCCUAUCUGCCGUGGGCGCUGGAGAACUGAGGGGGGCUGCUCCUAGUACGAGAGGACCGGAGUGGACGCAUCACUGGUGUUCGGGUUGUCAUGCCAAUGGCACUGCCCGGUAGCUAAAUGCGGAAGAGAUAAGUGCUGAAAGCAUCUAAGCACGAAACUUGCCCCGAGAUGAGUUCUCCCUGACUCCUUGAGAGUCCUGAAGGAACGUUGAAGACGACGACGUUGAUAGGCCGGGUGUGUAAGCGCAGCGAUGCGUUGAGCUAACCGGUACUAAUGAACCGUGAGGCUUAACC